UGGGGAAUUUUGGACAAUGGGCGAAAGCCUGAUCCAGCAAUGCCGCGUGCAGGAAGAAGGCCUUCGGGUUGUAAACUGCUUUUGUACGGAACGAAACGGUCCGCUUUAAUACAGUGGGCUAAUGACGGUACCGUAAGAAUAAGCACCGGCUAACUACGUGCCAGCAGCCGCGGUAAUACGUAGGGUGCGAGCGUUAAUCGGAAUUACUGGGCGUAAAGCGUGCGCAGGCGGUUAUAUAAGACAGUUGUGAAAUCCCCGGGCUCAACCUGGGAAUUGCAUCUGUGACUGUAUAGCUAGAGUACGGUAGAGGGGGAUGGAAUUCCGCGUGUAGCAGUGAAAUGCGUAGAUAUGCGGAGGAACACCGAUGGCGAAGGCAAUCCCCUGGACCUGUACUGACGCUCAUGCACGAAAGCGUGGGGAGCAAACA
rnacentral:rRNA from 1 species